CUUCUAUGUUGUAGACAUCUCAUCAACAAAUCCUUGAAUCUUUCCAAUGCCUUAAGCAAUGACUCACAAUUUUGUUGCUUGAAAUGUCUAAUUUCACUCCUCAAUUG